UUUUAAUACUGAUACUGUUUAUUCUGUAAGAAUUGUUGUUUUGUAAAGAAAAACGGGCAAUUGCUAUAAGAAAAAAUGUGGUUCGAAAUUUUACCGUCGGCUGCCAUCAUUACUGUGGCUUUGGCUAUUCCCAUAUAUGCAACAUACGGUCUACAUAAAUUAGUUUUAGGCAAUCCCUAUCGCCGUAACAUGGAUGAGCGUUUCGAUCGUGUUAUGUAUUUACGUGACCGUAGACUAACAUACAAUCCAUACAUACUGAACGGCCUGGAAAAAAUUCCGGACAAAAAAGAUGAAGACGAGGAAGAAAAUUAAUAAAUUUUUGCCGCCUUAAGUUAUGAAUAAAUAAAGAAUAUUUAACAAUAAAACAGAAGCGCUACAGCUAAAUUUUUGUAAAAAUUGUUCUUAGACAUUCCUCAUCUGCGCGAAAACGACUUCAAUUUAAUAUUAAAGGCUAAAUGGAAUAGGUGACUGGAGCUCUCUUCUUCAUCCUUCUACAAAGAGAUAAACCAGAUGAGAAGACGAGCCUUAGUUAUUGUUGUUUUGAAACUUAAAAACUCGUAAGCUUGGCAACCGAUACAGAAAACAACACGACAACACCAUUUAGUUUUCUAAUCAUAAUGAAUUGUUAAGGUUACAAGUUAGUUUAAAUAUGGCACAGGCAAAUUGUGCGUGAUAGACAUCAUUCAGGUUUCUGCCAAUAACUCUAAAUGGGUUAAACAGCUCAUAACUAUAUUAACAUUGACCCAGUUUAAUAAAAUGCCAAGAAAAGCUUAUCUUAUCAAGUAAUACGGACGAAUCGAUAGUAUCAUUAAUUAACUUAAUUAAGAAGGAGACAACAAGAAUAAAUCUACGUUUCUCAAGUGGCAAAGAGACAAGUCGCCAUCCAAAAACCUAAGGGCAACCAACAACAAUUGCUUUUGAAAUGAUCCAAUUUUUUACAUCUACAAUCCACAUGACACCUACAGGGCGGAGACCACACAAACGAG